rnacentral:rRNA from 1 species
AUUGAACGCUGGCGGCAUGCCUUACACAUGCAAGUCGAACGGCAGCACGGGAGCAAUCCUGGUGGCGAGUGGCGAACGGGUGAGUAAUAUAUCGGAACGUGCCCAGUCGUGGGGGAUAACGUAGCGAAAGCUACGCUAAUACCGCAUACGAUCUAUGGAUGAAAGCGGGGGGAUCGCAAGACCUCGCGCGAUUGGAGCGGCCGAUAUCAGAUUAGGUAGUUGGUGGGGUAAAAGCCUACCAAGCCUUCGAUCUGUAGCUGGUCUGAGAGGACGACCAGCCACACUGGAACUGAGACACGGUCCAGACUCCUACGGGAGGCAGCAGUGGGGAAUUUUGGACAAUGGGCGCAAGCCUGAUCCAGCCAUGCCGCGUGAGUGAAGAAGGGCCUUC